rnacentral:lncRNA from 10 species
UUUCAGAUGACUCAUAAACCACCCCCAAAAUGACUCUGUGCUCAUAAGCUAAACAGAGGCCAUUUCUCCACUUACAAAGCUGCCUAUCCAUCCCACCAAGGUCCUGCUACACGGAGUUGCCCCUUUGUGCAUCAAAAGGGAAAUUUAAAAGAAGCAUUAGAUCCCCCGGCAUCAUCUUCUACUCGGAGUCUCUUUCAUAGCAACGUUCUGGGGCUAAAAAGCUGGGACAGAGAGAGCUGCAUGUUUCCCAGAAGAAUUGCAGAAGAUUGCUAAGACUUGUGGUAACUUGAUACACAACAAUAACAGAGUUUAGUCACCCUCUCUCUAUGAAAUUGCAUGCUGAGAAUGGCAGAAGAGGACACUGGAAAGAUCCUGGUUCCUCAAUGACCUUCUUGGGCAGCUUGACCACUACCUAGGUCAUGAUUCAGAUUAUGUGAAAAAAAUAAAGUUUUAUUUCAUUAAACAAUUAAAAUCAAUUUUAAUUCAUAUAGUAAGUACUACUACUACUACUAUUAUUAUUACUGUUCCUAGGUAACAUCUAAUGGGUUUGUACAAUACAAAUAAAA